AGGGCCCUGCGUGGCUGCGGCGGGGACGGCGGCGCAUGGCGCAGGCUCGAGGACACCCUGCUCGGCAGCCACCGGCGGCCCCAGGCCCGGGCACCGCCCGCGCGCCCCGCAGGCCCCGGCGGCCCGGCCGGGCUCCUGGCGCCCCGCGUCCCCCCGCCGUCUGUGUCUGCGCAGCGCGAGCCACGUGCAGUGACGCCGUCCCCGGGAAGCCGCAGCGGCCGGAAGCCCGGGACGGAGCCCCUGCGGCGGCUGGAGGCGAGCGGGCCGCGGAAACCCCGGCCCCGGAGGGAGCGGCCCCGAGCGCGGCGGGCCGGGGCGGGAGGGCCGGGGACCGGGUGGGGGCUCCGCGGACGGGGCCGGGGCUGCGCGGCCCCUGCCCUCCCGCAGCCGCUGCCCCCGACGCGGCCCAGGCGGAGCAGCUGGCCCGGGAGCUGGCGUGGUGCGUGGAGCAGCUGGAGCUGGGCCUCCGGAGGCAGAAACCGACCCCGAAGCAGAAAGAGCAGGCCGUCGGGGCAGUCCGAGCCCUGCGCAGCGACAGGACCCCCUUGCCCCGGAAGAGGCAGCUGAUGCGCUCCUUGUUUGGGGACUACAGGGCUCGGAUGGAAGCCGAGUGGCGCGAGGCUCUGCGGGACCUCAGGGCUGAGUUGGAAUGUGCCAGUAGCUGUGAGCGGGGCGGGCUGCUGCAGAGUGGCUGUGGGCUCUGCAUCUGAAGUGACAGCGACAGCAAUGGCAGCUCCUUGGUGGCCCUCACAAGCCCAGCAGGCUCCAACAGCGACCCCAGCACACGGUGGCAGCGCUCAGUUCCAGGCAAGUCUAAAGGUUUAGUCCAGGCUUUGCAGCUGAUCCAGUGGCCCUCCAUAGAGCUGUCAGUCCCUGCUGCACUGAUGCAUGCCUGCUCCCUGAUGGACAUCAAAUUGAGCAGCAGAUUCACCUCCACCCAGCAGCCCUCUACAGAGUUGCUGGGCCUUUCUGCACCUGUGCAUGUCUGCUCUCUGCUGGACAGCAGAUUGGGUGGUGGAUUUGCCUCCUCCAGCAGGUCUCCAUAGAGCCACCUGGCCCUGCUGUGCCCAAGCACACCAGCUCCUGGCCAGGCAGUGGCAUCAACUCCAUUGACAGUCCUGUGCAGAGCCACAUGGCCCCUCCCCUUCAGCAAGGCUCACCUGGUUCCAGUCCAAAAGUUUUUCAAGCAGUGUGCCAUCCCCUGGGAGAAACAACCUGAGAGCUGUUUGUCCCUGCUUGGUCUGGUAGCUGGUCAGGCACUGACUCUACAUCUCAGAGAGACCACCAAAUAGGCAGUUGACCCUCUGCAACCUGCACACAUCUGGCCAAACAACCAGCCUGGAGGUUCAAAGUCAUACCAAAAUAUAAAGGAUAUAGCAAAAGAAGUUCUAAGGGAAAUGAUUAUAGCAAUAAAUGCCUACAUCAAAAAAGAAUGAUUUCUAAUCUAACAUUGCUCCUAAAGGAACCAUAAAAGCAAUAAGAAACUAAACCCAAAAUAGGCAGAAGGGAAGAAAUAAUAAAGUUCCAAGCAGAAAUGCGUGAAAUAGAAAAAAAAAAUGAAAAGAUCAAGAAAAUGAAGAGUUGGAUUGUUGAAAAGAUAAACAAAAUUGACAAAGCUUUAGAAUAACCAAUAAAAAAAUAGAGAAGACUCAAAUAAAUAAAACAAAAAUGAAAAGGGGAUGUUACAGUUGAUGCCACAGAAAUACAAAGAAGCAUAAGGGACUAUUAGGAACAUCAAUAUUCCAACAAAUUUGAUAACAUAGAAGAAAUGGAAAAUUCCUGGAUAGAUAUAAUCUGCCAAGAUUAAGUUAUGAACAAAAAGAAAACAUGAACAGACCAAUAAUAAGUGAGGAAACUGAAUCAGAAAUACAAGUCUUCAUUAAGAAAAAGCUCAAGACCUGAUGCCUUCAGUGCUGAAUUCUGUCAAACAUUUAAAGAACUGAUAACAAUACUCUUCCAAUCAUUACAGAAAAUUGAAGAGGAGGGAAUAUUUCUCAUCUCAUUUUAUGAGCCCAGCGUUGCUCUGGCUCAAAGCUGGACAAGUACACAACAACAACAAAAAAAGAAAA